GCGCGCGAGUCUCCGUCCGCUAGCGCUCCCGGAAGCCCGCGGUAGGAGCCGCGCCGGCGGUGCGGGCGCACGGCGCGCACCGGGGACUGUCUGCUCACUGCAGCCCGGGUGCUGCCUGGUGGGAAUCCCUCCCCAGCUGGGGAGAAAGGCAGUUGUUUUCCUCCCGGUGAAACGUUCCACUUGAAACCGUUCCACAAGGGCUGUUCUCGCCUCCGACUAGGGGAAGAACUGUAAUUAACACAGCAACAAACGCCCACGACGCUAACUGGCAAAGGGAGUGUAACACGAGCCGCUUCUCCAACCGAACUGGGCCAAUUGCUUUCCCUUCUUGCCUCCCCAUUUGGUCUGUUUUGGUUCCGCAGUCAUCCAACUGUGGCGUUUCUUAAAACAUGUCAGUGGCUGGUGUUUGUGUUUGGGGUUGAACAGUUUCACACACGUCGCUGGAGACGGUGCUCAACCAGCUGCUGUGCUGGGUCCUAGCUUUCUGCGCCUUCGGGAGCGUCAGGUAGAAGAACGAAGCGACUAGAAGAAGGGGGUGGAGAUGAAGAAGGACGCCUGCCUCCUCCGAUUGCCUGCAGUUGGGUCGGAAGCCUGUCUCCGGGCGAGGACAGAUGUAUUUCCAUACGACUUGGAAGGCAGAAGGAAAGCAGAGGCAUUUUUCCUGAAGCUUUGGUUGAUUCUAGAGAUACACAUACUGGUUUUAUUCUGCCGCCACAUUCCCAUAUCCAGCUGUUAAGGAACAUAUGUGGAGUCUUCAAGUUCGCGACCAGCCCCAGGAUCCCAAGAUUCACACAGUUUUCUACCUGAAACUUAAGGAACUCUACUUGCCUCACAGGAUUGCCAUGAGGAUUAAAUGAACAAUUGGAUGAAAACA